GUAUAUUUCAAUCAAUCCCCAACAAAGCUAUUCCCUUACCUUCUUUGAGUAGAGAUAGUGAUGUCUCUACACUCUUUGCCUUCAUCGCUUUCCUUUCAAAACCCUAAUCCCAAUUCAAUCCAACUUUCCAAACCCAUCAGAAACUAUAAUUACACCCCGAGUCCCUACCUAAAAUCCCUCAAUCUCCGCCAAACUUCAAAACCCCGCCUUUUAAUCCAUGCCCAUUCUUCAUUUCCCUCUAAAAGUUUAAACUUUUUGGGGUUCAAGAUAGAAACCGCGAAAACUUCAGGUCCAAGGAACCAAUUUCAAAGACUCCAGCGUUAUGGGGUUAAAGAAUCUGAGGAUACCGAAAAAGUGGUCGACUCUGGUGGCGAUGGAGGUGGCGGCGGUGAUGGAGACGAUGGAGAGGUAGAGAAGAAAAGUGGGUCAUUACCUGAAUGGUUGAAUGUUACUCCUGAUGAUGCAAAAACGGUUCUUGCUGCUGUCGUGAUAUCGCUUGCUUUCCGGUCAUUCGUGGCUGAGCCGAGGUACAUUCCUUCGUUGUCGAUGUAUCCUACGUUUGAUGUUGGGGAUCGAAUUGUUGCCGAGAAGGUUUCGUACUACUUUAGGAAGCCUUGUGCUAAUGACAUUGUCAUCUUCAAAAGCCCGCCAGUUCUUCAGGAAGUAGGAUACACCGAUGACGAUGUCUUCAUUAAACGAAUAGUAGCUAAGGAAGGUGAUACUGUGGAGGUUCAUAAUGGAAAGCUUAUUGUUAAUGGGGUUGUACGAAAUGAAGAGUUCAUCGACGAAGCACCUUCCUAUGAAAUGACACCAAUUCAAGUACCCGAAAAUUCCGUCUUUGUGAUGGGUGACAAUCGUAAUAAUAGCUAUGAUUCCCACGUUUGGGGUCCCCUCCCAGCCAAGAAUAUCAUAGGAAGAUCAGUAUUUCGUUAUUGGCCCCCAAAAAGGAUAGGUGGCACCGUACUUGAGCGUGGCUGUGCCAUUGACAAGCAGGAGGAGAGUGUCAAAGCACCUGAAUAGAUGUAUUCAGCCUUACUGAUCUUAUAAUUUUUACGUUAUUUGACUCAUUUCAACAUUGCUAUCAUUUUUCAGUAGAAAUGACCCUAUUAAUGAUUACUGCAACUAAUGUUCUAUGGUUCCAUUUCAAGUU